rnacentral:rRNA from 1 species
AGCGGCGGACGGGUGAGUAAUGCUUAGGAAUCUGCCAUUUAGUGGGGGACAACAUUCCGAAAGGAAUGCUAAUACCGCAUACGUCCUACGGGAGAAAGCAGGGGAUCUUCGGACCUUGCGCUAAAUGAUGAGCCUAAGUCGGAUUAGCUAGUUGGUGGGGUAAAGGCCUACCAAGGCGACGAUCUGUAGCGGGUCUGAGAGGAUGAUCCGCCACACUGGGACUGAGACACGGCCCAGACUCCUACGGGAGGCAGUAGUGGGGAAUAUUGGACAAUGGGCGGAAGCCUGAUCCAGCCAUGCCGCGUGUGUGAAGAAGGCCUUUUGGUUGUAAAGCACUUUAAGCGAGGAGGAGGCUACCUAGAUUAAUACUCUGGGAUAGUGGACGUUACUCGCAGAAUAAGCACCGGCUAACUCUGUGCCAGCAGCCGCGGUAAUACAGAGGGUGCGAGCGUUAAUCGGAUUUACUGGGCGUAAAGCGUGCGUAGGCGGCUUUUUAAGUCGGAUGUGAAAUCCCCGAGCUUAACUUGGGAAUUGCAUUCGAUACUGGGAAGCUAGAGUAUGGGAGAGGAUGGUAGAAUUCCAGGUGUAGCGGUGAAAUGCGUAGAGAUCUGGAGGAAUACCGAUGGCGAAGGCAGCCAUCUGGCCUAAUACUGACGCUGAGGUACGAAAGCAUGGGGAGCAAACAGGAUUAGAUACCCUGGUAGUCCAUGCCGUANACGAUGUCUACUAGC